rnacentral:rRNA from 1 species
CCUACGGGGGGCAGCAGUGGGGAAUAUUUGGCAAUGGGCGCAAUCCUGACCCAGCAACGCCGCGUGAAGGAAGAAGGCUUUCGGGUUGUAAACUUCUUUUAAGAGGGAAGAGCAGAAGACGGUACCUCUUGCAUCAGCCACGGCUAACUACGUGCCAGCAGCCGCGGUCAUACGUAGGGGGCAAGCGUUGUCCGGAUUUACUGUGUGUAAAGGGCGUGCAGCCGGGAAGACAAGUCAGAUGUGAAAUCCGGCUGCGCAACCGCGGAACUGCAUUUGAAACUGUUUUUCUUGAGUACCGGAGAGGUGAGCGGAAGUCCUGGUGUAGAGGUGAAAUGCGUAGAUAUAAGGAAGAAAACCAGGGGCGAAGGCGGAUGACUGGACGGCAACGGACGGUGAGGCGCGAAAGCGUGGGGAGCAAACAGGAUUAGAUACCCCAGUAGUC